rnacentral:rRNA from 1 species
CCUACGGGUGGCAGCAGUGAGGAAUAUUGGUCAAUGGGCGCGAGCCUGAACCAGCCAAGUAGCGUGAAGGAUGACUGCCCUACGGGUUGUAAACUUCUUUUAUAAAGGAAUAAAGUGAGGCACGUGUGCCUUUUUGUAUGUACUUUAUGAAUAAGGAUCGGCUAACUCCGUGCCAGCAGCCGCGGUAAUACGGAGGAUCCGAGCGUUAUCCGGAUUUAUUGGGUUUAAAGGGAGCGUAGAUGGGUUGUUAAGUCAGUGGUGAAAGGUUGCGGCUCAACCGUAAAAUUUCAAUUGAUACUGGCAGUCUUGAGUACAGUUGAGGUAGGCGGAAUUCGUGGUGUAGCGGUGAAAUGCUUAGAUAUCACGAAGAACCCCGAUUGCGAAGGCAGCUUACUAAACUGUGACUGACAUUGAUGCUCGAAAGUGUGGGUAUCAAACAGGAUUAGAUACCCGGGUAGC